rnacentral:lncRNA from 1 species
UGCAAGCAACCUCUCAAAAUAAUCCUCAUUUCAACACCUUCAAUCUUGGAGUGAAGAAUUACAUGAAUUGUUCUUAUGGAGCUAAUCCGAAUCAAGCAUUUCCUCAAGAUCAACAUUUUGAAGAUCACCAUGAAUCUUUUGAAGAUACUCUUAUCUUAGCCAUGAAGAUGACUCAAGGAAAUUUUGAGGUGAUGAAGGCAAACCAAGAAGUGUCAAGCGAACGUCAUGAAGCCUCCAUCAAAAAUCUCGAAAACCAAAU